GGCGCUGCGUGGUGGUCGCCGCCGCUCGCGCUCCGUGAUGGAGGAACUCGGCCUCCUCUUAGAGCGCGGUCAGCUCUUGCUUAUUUCCUUCAGUUUCGCUCCCUGCCUGGGGUGAGUGGCUGGCGCCGGUCCGUGUGCAGAUUCACAGCCGGGCUGGCCUUGCUCAGCAACGAGCUGGAGUGCGAUCCUUGGCGACACCGUGACACAGGCCUCUUUCUGGGGAAGACCCAGAGCCGCAAAGUGCCUGGUGGGACCCUCAGCCCUUUUCCAGCACGUCCGUGGGAAGUGGCGAGCGUGCGUGUCCCGCCUCGUGGCGGGUUCUCUCUCUCCCACACCUUCCUCUGAGGACGGUGAGGCCUUUGUGGGCUUGUUACCGCUCUGUCGCCUUAACUGCAGCCUACCCCAGAUCUCACCAGAGGCUGCUCUGCGCCCCGAUGCUGGCUGCCAGUGAGAGUCAAUUUCCCUCUCAUGAGAUGUAAAACGAAACAAAGCAAAACUCCAACACCCAAACCUGGUGAUCCUCUUCUGUUGGUGCAUAAGCAAGAGCAGAUGCAGUCCUGUCCCCCAAAUGUAACCCCCCAGACAUCAGGGAGCCUGCCUGCUGUUGCCCCCUUUGCAUCUCAGAGUCUAUGGGUCAAGCUUGCCUCAGUGAGCAUCAGUUUGCAAGGUUAAAUUUACUCUGAUGCCUGGACAUAGCACUUUCCUACAACUGAGCAGGGGCUUCUGAUUCCAGACAAAGGGAUAAAAAUGCAUGCCGCCUAUUUUUCAUGCUAAUUACAACUAAAAACCCUGGACAAAAUGCAUAAAGCACUAACUACCAGAAAACUGAAAGGUGGAGGAAAGAAGCAGAUGGCUAGAGACCUAGAGAUUCAAGAAUAACCCAGAGGAAACACAGAUUUCCUUUGGUGGUAACCACUUGGCUGCACAAAACUACUGCAUGGCCAUGGAAGAUUACAAUGUAUAGGAAGCUUUAUAUAUUCUUUGAAGAAGUGUUGGACAGUAAUCCCUGACAGAUGGGAACCAAACCAGGUGAAACUUACAAUUGCUGCAGCUUAUUGCCUUGAGCAAAGGGAGAGGCUGGACAUGUCCCUGAGUUGAGGUCCAUGGAGACUAAAGUGGCUGAGUGCAGAGAACAAAGCCCUGGAGGGAGGAAAGCUGCACAGACAGAGAACUCUUGAGAUACACGGAGGCCCCUGAGUCUUCGGCGGAGUUCUGAUCGGCACAAACAUAGGAGAAAACAACCAAAGACCUGAGAAGAAGCAUCCAGAAGGACCAGGGGAGUGGUGGCCAUCACUCCCACAGUGCCUGUUCCUUCAAAUCAGACUGGAAAACCUCAUAACUCAUGGGGUAGAGGACUCAGAGGGGUCUUGCCUCAGCUGUGGGAAUUGAUUAGCUCUAGAUUAACCUCUGUUCUGGACCUGCUUAACAAGUCUUAAAGAGUCAAAAGAAUCAGUUUCCCAUGGUAUCACUUAUAUGUGGAAACAGACAAAGAAAAAAAACAAAACAAAAUGUUGAACUCUUAGAAACGGUAGAAAAGUGGCUGGGGGUGGGGCAGGGAUGAGAAGAGGUUGUCAAGGGAUGCAAACAUUCAGUUAUUCACCCAUAAUGUGAUUAAGGUUUGAGGACCCAAUGUUAAACAUGUUAACUGUAGUUGAUUAUAUAUAUCACAUUGUACAAUUGAAAUUUGCUAAAAGAGGAGAACUUAUAUAUUCUCACCAAAAAAAAAAAAAGUUAAAUAUGUGAG